rnacentral:rRNA from 1 species
GGGUUGUGAGGUUAAGCGACUAAGCGUACACGGUGGAUGCCCUGGCAGUCAGAGGCGAUGAAGGACGUGCUAAUCUGCGAUAAGCGCCGGUAAGGUGAUAUGAACCGUUAUAACCGGCGAUUUCCGAAUGGGGAAACCCAGUGUGAUUCGUCACACUAUCAUUACGUGAAUACAUAGCGUAAUGAAGCGAACCGGGGGAACUGAAACAUCUAAGUACCCCGAGGAAAAGAAAUCAACCGAGAUUCCCCCAGUAGCGGCGAGCGAACGGGGAGGAGCCCAGAGCCUGAAUCAGCAUGUGUGUUAGUGGAAGCGUCUGGAAAGGCGCGCGAUACAGGGUGACAGCCCCGUACACAAAAGCGCAUGUGCUGUGAGCUCGAUGAGUAGGGCGGGACACGUGGUAUCCUGUCUGAAUAUGGGGGGACCAUCCUCCAAGGCUAAAUACUCCUGACUGACCGAUAGUGAACCAGUACCGUGAGGGAAAGGCGAAAAGAACCCCGGCGAGGGGAGUGAAAAAGAACCUGAAACCGUGUACGUACAAGCAGUGGGAGCCCCACCACUAAGCCAGUGGUGAACUCCACAUACGCAUCCUUUGCUGAGGAUACGGUUAACGGAGCGAAAGCGACGUUCAACCGCAAAAGAAGCAGAGGGGGCUUAGUGGUGGGGUGACUGCGUACCUUUUGUAUAAUGGGUCAGCGACUUAUAUUCUGUAGCAAGGUUAACCGAAUAGGGGAGCCGCAGGGAAACCGAGUCUUAAUUGGGCGUUAAGUUGCAGGGUAUAGACCCGAAACCCGGUGAUCUAGCCAUGGGCAGGUUGAAGGUUGGGUAACACUAACUGGAGGACCGAACCGACUAAUGUUGAAAAAUUAGCGGAUGACCUGUGGCUGGGGGUGAAAGGCCAAUCAAACCGGGAGAUAGCUGGUUCUCCCCGAAAGCUAUUUAGGUAGCGCCUCGUGAAUUCAUCUCCGGGGGUAGAGCACUGUUUCGGCUAGGGGGCCAUCCCGGCUUACCAACCCGAUGCAAACUGCGAAUACCGGAGAAUGUUAUCACGGGAGACACACGGCGGGUGCUAACGUCCGUCGUGAAGAGGGAAACAACCCAGACCGCCAGCUAAGGUCCCAAAGUCAUGGUUAAGUGGGAAACGAUGUGGGAAGGCCCAGACAGCCAGGAUGUUGGCUUAGAAGCAGCCAUCAUUUAAAGAAAGCGUAAUAGCUCACUGGUCGAGUCGGCCUGCGCGGAAGAUGUAACGGGGCUAAACCAUGCACCGAAGCUGCGGCAGCGACGCUGAUGCGUUGUUGGGUAGGGGAGCGUUCUGUAAGCCUGUGAAGGUGUGUCGUGAGGCAUGCUGGAGGUAUCAGAAGUGCGAAUGCUGACAUAAGUAACGAUAAAGCGGGUGAAAAGCCCGCUCGCCGGAAGACCAAGGGUUCCUGUCCAACGUUAAUCGGGGCAGGGUGAGUCGACCCCUAAGGCGAGGCCGAAAGGCGUAGUCGAUGGGAAACGGGUUAAUAUUCCCGUACUUGGUGUUACUGCGAAGGGGGGACGGAGAAGGCUAUGUUGGCCGGGCGACGGUUGUCCCGGUUUAAGCGUGUAGGUGUGUGUUCCAGGUAAAUCCGGUUCACUUUAACACUGAGGCGUGAUGACGAGGCACUACGGUGCUGAAGCAACAAAUGCCCUGCUUCCAGGAAAAGCCUCUAAGCAUCAGGUAACAUCAAAUCGUACCCCAAACCGACACAGGUGGUCAGGUAGAGAAUACCAAGGCGCUUGAGAGAACUCGGGUGAAGGAACUAGGCAAAAUGGUGCCGUAACUUCGGGAGAAGGCACGCUGACACGUAGGUGAAGUGAUUUACUCACGGAGCUGAAGUCAGUCGAAGAUACCAGCUGGCUGCAACUGUUUAUUAAAAACACAGCACUGUGCAAACACGAAAGUGGACGUAUACGGUGUGACGCCUGCCCGGUGCCGGAAGGUUAAUUGAUGGGGUCAGCGCAAGCGAAGCUCCUGAUCGAAGCCCCGGUAAACGGCGGCCGUAACUAUAACGGUCCUAAGGUAGCGAAAUUCCUUGUCGGGUAAGUUCCGACCUGCACGAAUGGCGUAAUGAUGGCCAGGCUGUCUCCACCCGAGACUCAGUGAAAUUGAACUCGCUGUGAAGAUGCAGUGUACCCGCGGCAAGACGGAAAGACCCCGUGAACCUUUACUAUAGCUUGACACUGAACAUUGAGCCUUGAUGUGUAGGAUAGGUGGGAGGCUUUGAAGUGUGGACGCCAGUCUGCAUGGAGCCGACCUUGAAAUACCACCCUUUAAUGUUUGAUGUUCUAACGUGGACCCGUAAUCCGGGUUGCGGACAGUGUCUGGUGGGUAGUUUGACUGGGGCGGUCUCCUCCUAAAGAGUAACGGAGGAGCACGAAGGUUGGCUAAUCCUGGUCGGACAUCAGGAGGUUAGUGCAAUGGCAUAAGCCAGCUUGACUGCGAGCGUGACGGCGCGAGCAGGUGCGAAAGCAGGUCAUAGUGAUCCGGUGGUUCUGAAUGGAAGGGCCAUCGCUCAACGGAUAAAAGGUACUCCGGGGAUAACAGGCUGAUACCGCCCAAGAGUUCAUAUCGACGGCGGUGUUUGGCACCUCGAUGUCGGCUCAUCACAUCCUGGGGCUGAAGUAGGUCCCAAGGGUAUGGCUGUUCGCCAUUUAAAGUGGUACGCGAGCUGGGUUUAGAACGUCGUGAGACAGUUCGGUCCCUAUCUGCCGUGGGCGCUGGAGAACUGAGGGGGGCUGCUCCUAGUACGAGAGGACCGGAGUGGACGCAUCACUGGUGUUCGGGUUGUCAUGCCAAUGGCACUGCCCGGUAGCUAAAUGCGGAAGAGAUAAGUGCUGAAAGCAUCUAAGCACGAAACUUGCCCCGAGAUGAGUUCUCCCUGAGACUUUAAGUCUCCUGAAGGAACGUUGAAGACGACGACGUUGAUAGGCCGGGUGUGUAAGCGCAGCGAUGCGUUGAGCUAACCGGUACUAAUGAACCGUGAGGCUUAACCUUACAACGCCGAAG